CCAUGUUGACUCAGAGCUCAGUAUUCGCCUCAGGCAUCUUUAACUGCUUUCUGAAGCAGUUUUGAUUUUCUUCAAAACAUUGUGAAAUAUGACUGCUCCUUGUUGUUCUAUAAAAUGCUUUUAUUUAUGCUUCACUCUACUUUUCUCUGUCUCUAACAUGCAGCCACAUUUCCGGUCAGGUGUCUCUGUGUGCUGAGACAAGAAGAGCCAGCAGAGAAACUGAAUGUCUACAGGAAAGAAAAUCAACAACACAAGUUUCUACCAAUGAUUAGAAUGACCUUGCCUUUUCCAUCUGAAAGCGCACACACACAUAUACACACAUGAAAAAAAAA